AACAGCGUAAUUUUUUUAAAGAGUUCUAAUCGAUAAAAAAGUUUGCGACCUCGAUGUUG
rnacentral:tRNA from 1 species